rnacentral:rRNA from 1 species
GGAUUAAGAGCUUGCUCUUAUGAAGUUAGCGGCGGACGGGUGAGUAACACGUGGGUAACCUGCCCAUAAGACUGGGAUAACUCCGGGAAACCGGGGCUAAUACCGGAUAACAUUUUGAACCGCAUGGUUCGAAAUUGAAAGGCGGCUUCGGCUGUCACUUAUGGAUGGACCCGCGUCGCAUUAGCUAGUUGGUGAGGUAACGGCUCACCAAGGCAACGAUGCGUAGCCGACCUGAGAGGGUGAUCGGCCACACUGGGACUGAGACACGGCCCAGACUCCUACGGGAGGCAGCAGUAGGGAAUCUUCCGCAAUGGACGAAAGUCUGACGGAGCAACGCCGCGUGAGUGAUGAAGGCUUUCGGGUCGUAAAACUCUGUUGUUAGGGAAGAACAAGUGCUAGUUGAAUAAGCUGGCACCUUGACGGUACCUAACCAGAAAGCCACGGCUAACUACGUGCCAGCAGCCGCGGUAAUACGUAGGUGGCAAGCGUUAUCCGGAAUUAUUGGGCGUAGAGCGCGCGCAGGUGGUUUCUUAAGUCUGAUGUGAAAGCCCACGGCUCAACCGUGGAGGGUCAUUGGAGACUGGGAGACUUGAGUGCAGAAGAGGAAAGUGGAAUUCCAUGUGUAGCGGUGAAAUGCGUAGAGAUAUGGAGGAACACCAGUGGCGAAGGCGACUUUCUGGUC